AAACCAACGGUUCAUCAGCUUCCCUUUCAGUUUAAGAUCACGGGUAAAGCUCAAUACUGGAUGAGAUUGUAAACCAUGUGCACUCAUUGCAAUGCUUUAACGUCUGUUAUAUUGUACCCGAAUCUAACAGAGGCUUCAAGGCAUGACCGUUGGAUUCUAAUCACUUCCCAUCACAAGCCAACUAUUGGAUGUCAUUG